rnacentral:snRNA from 1 species
AUAUCUGUCACGGCGGUACACAUUCUAAAAUUGGAACGAUACAGAGAAGAUUAGCAUGGCCCCUGCGCAAGAUGACACGCAAAUUCGCGAAGCGUUCCAUAAUUUU